rnacentral:rRNA from 1 species
GAUGAACGCUGGCGGCGUGCCUAAUACAUGCAAGUCGAACGAGCUCUUCGGAGCUAGUGGCGGACGGGUGAGUAACACGUUGGUACCUACCCCUAAGUGGGGAAUAACUGCCCGAAAGGGUGGCUAAUACCGCAUAAUCCCGCAAGGGUAAAGCAGUAAUGCGCUUAGGGAGGGGCCUGCGUCCCAUUAGCUUGUUGGUAGUGUAAUGGACUACCAAGGCGACGAUGGGUAGCUGGAUCGAGAGGUUGACCAGCCACACUGGGACUGAGAUACGGCCCAGACUCCUACGGGAGGCAGCAGUAAGGAAUCUUCCACAAUGGACGAAAGUCUGAUGGAGCAACGCCGCGUGCAGGAUGACGGCCUUCGGGUUGUAAACUGCUUUUAUAUGGGAAGAUUAUGAGGGUACCAUAUGAAUAAGGACCGGCUAAUUACGUGCCAGCAGCCGCAGUAA